rnacentral:rRNA from 1 species
UGGAGAGUUUGAUCCUGGCUCAGAUUGAACGCUGGCGGCAGGCCUAACACAUGCAAGUCGAACGGUAACAGAGAGCAGCUUGCUGCUCUGCUGACGAGUGGCGGACGGGUGAGUAAUGUCUGGGAAACUGCCUGAUGGAGGGGGAUAACUACUGGAAACGGUAGCUAAUACCGCAUAACGUCUUCGGACCAAAGUGGGGGACCUUCGGGCCUCAUGCCAUCAGAUGUGCCCAGAUGGGAUUAGCUAGUAGGUGGGGUAAAGGCUCACCUAGGCGACGAUCCCUAGCUGGUCUGAGAGGAUGACCAGCCACACUGGAACUGAGACACGGUCCAGACUCCUACGGGAGGCAGCAGUGGGGAAUAUUGCACAAUGGGCGCAAGCCUGAUGCAGCCAUGCCGCGUGUAUGAAGAAGGCCUUCGGGUUGUAAAGUACUUUCAGCGAGGAGGAAGGGRUUGUGGUUAAUAACCGCAGYCAUUGACGUUACUCGCAGAAGAAGCACCGGCUAACUCCGUGCCAGCAGCCGCGGUA